UACGUAGGGUGCAAGCGUUAAUCGGAAUUACUGGGCGUAAAGCGUGCGCAGGCGGCUUUGCAAGACAGAUGUGAAAUCCCCGGGCUCAACCCUGGGAACUGCAUUUGUGACUGCAUGGCUGGAGUGCGGCAGAGGGGGGAUGGAAUUCCGCGUGUAGCAGUGAAAUGCGUAGAUAUGCGGAGGAACACCGAUGGCGAAGGCAAU
rnacentral:rRNA from 1 species